CAUGUUUCAUACAAGCAGCUUGGCAUAGAUAUUGUAAAAAGAAAAUUGAGAGGACAUUGCGUGAAGAAGAAGACAAACUAAAAGGUGUUCUUGCAAUUGAGAAUGGAUCCACUCUAAGCCUUGGUGCAACCAUAUAUGCAUCAAAGUUUGCUGCAAAGGCAUUACGAAACUUGAGAGAAAAUAGCAGACAAAGCAGAACGCCACAGAGACUGCUACCUCUGUUACCUCCAAAGCCAGCUGAGCCAGAUUUCACUGCUCAGAAACACUAGGGGUACAAUAGUUUUGAGCUAUUUAAUGCAAGUUCAGCUUUCACUAACUACUAAAUAGGAGCACUCAAUUGUGUGCAUAUAUAUGUAACUUGAGUGUUGCUUAAGAAUUCCUUCAAUAACUAUGUGUUAUGUAUUGGCAAGAGUUCCCUUUGAAAAUAUAAUAUUUUUUGAACAUGUAAACUAUGCAGCUUCCAUUACACAAGUAAAAUCCAUUUUAUAUUAGCCUUAUUUAUAUUACAAAGUUUUUAUCCUUAAACUGAUGCCAGCAUUUGAGUUUAAUUAGAGCUACCUUAGUUAACAGCGAUAUCUGUUACUUUCUUAGCCCCAGUGAAGAACCAAUCUUUCACAAUUUUUAAUGAGAACUACUUCAUGGAGCAGUACCAAAUAAAGAGAAAUAAAAGAAACCAAAGGAAAAAGGAAAAAAAUAGAAAUUUGGAGAAAAAUAUAUAGAUAUACUUUUAUUCUGUUGGCAAGGGAGGUUUCAUACAUAUAUCUUUAUUUAUGCAUCACUAAUAGUCAUACAUCCCUGGUUGACAUUUAUUUAGUUUUCUACUUCCAUGUAAGAUUCCCUUGUCGUGUUUCCAGUGGCAGCACUUCUCUGUGAACAUUAGAAGCAGGAUUAAAAACUCAUAUCCAUUUCUAGCAAAGGAUUUGUUGAAGUAUACAAUAAUAAUCCAGUUAAUUCCGAGGCUUCUGCGGAUCCGUCCACUAUUCAAAGAAGUAACUAGAACUUCUGGCAUAUUGACAGAGACAGCAUGGGCUGGAGCUGCUUUUAAUCUAUUUCUGUAUAUGCUAGCAAGCCAUGUAAGUUUUUUUACUACAUAUUUAGAUCCACGUAUCUAUGUUUCUAUUAUUGUGCCAAGUUUUAUGAUCCCCAAAUACUAGUAUGUUUGAUUCCACGUUUGCAAGUGUUAGAAUUGACUAUCCUCUGUCAAAAUCAAUUUUUCGGUGUUUGAAUGUUUCCGUACACAAUUGAUUCUAGCUCCAAAGUCAGGUGGAGUGAAGCUAAAAAUGAAAGCUUUAACGGUGGGCAUGGUCGAUUAUGAGAUUUCGCAAACAUUUGCGUACAGAAAUCACUUUUCUCAUAAUUGUAUCGAAAUAAUACAUCACUUCACUUUACCAUAAUCAAUUUUAUGAAAACCAAUUAUAUCUACAAUCAAUUUUGACAACGCUAAUCCAAACACGCACAUGUGGUAUAUCAGUUGGUUGGAGCUUUCUGGUAUCUCCUUUCAGUAGAAUCAGAGGUGCGGUGCUGGCGUCGUGAGAUGAAGAAUGCUACGCUCUUUCAUGAGUCCUACUUGGGCUGCAAACCACGCGAUCCAGCUAUCUUUCAACUUCUAAAUCGUACUUGCUCAUUGAUUGACCCUGAUCAAAUCAAUGAAGAAAACAUCUUCAACUUUGGAAUAUAUUUCGGAGCUCUACAAUCACGUGUGAUAGAUUCAACAACUGAUUUUCCUCCGAAGUUCUUCUACUGCUUUUGGUGGGGUUUGCGGAAUUUAAGGUUAGUGAAAAAUCACGUGUGCUCUUGUCUUCAUAUUUUAAUGUAACAUGCACGUUUUAUGAACUAUAGAACUUUAUAUCCUUCUCAAAGAAAAUUUUCAAUGGAAGUUAUUAUUUUCUGUGAUAUUUUCUCAAAGAAAAAGUAGAGAAAUAUAUUAAAACAUGAGACUGACUAAAAGAAUGGCAGAAUUGAAAAAAAAAAUUUGUUGUUUUUUGCAGUUCUCUUGGACAAGACCUCAAGACAAGUACUUAUGUCCCAGAGAUAAUCUUUGCAAUCUUCAUUGCCAUCUUUGGAUUGGUCUUAUUCUCAUUACUUAUUGGGAACAUGCAGGUAACUCUUGGUCUGGACUUGACCAGAGAAUUUUGGGUUGAAAACCAGCUACGUCAGACUUAUUUUAUUUAUUAAUGAGCUCAUUGAUUGUGAAUUUGUAAUGAACAUUGUUGCAGGAAUAUCUGCAAUCUACUACUGUUAGAGUGGAAGAGAUGAGAGUGAAGAGACAGGACGCAGAACGGUGGAUGUCUCACCGUAUGCUACCUGAGAACUUGAAGGGAAGAAUUAGAAGUUAUGAACAGUACAAAUGGCAAGAGAAUAGGGGUGUGGAGGAGGAGACAUUAAUUCGUGACCUCCCAAAAGAUCUCCGAAGGGACAUAAAGCGCCAUCUUUGCUUAGCUUUGGUUAAAAAAGUAUGUAUCAUUCAUAAACUGUCAUUAUUCUGCAUCUAAUUAUUCUUUAUACAACUAUGCUAUAUGGGUAAUGACACUUAGACACUCAAAUUGUAGAUACACGUCAUUCGAGUGUCUGCACUGCACGGAUGUAUACCAAUCAUUUUCCUUACUAUAUUGUACACGUGUAAUGAACAUUUUAUGUUCUAUUUGCUUUAGGUUCCACUGUUUGAAAAAAUGGAUGAGCAGUUGUUGGAUGCAAUGUGCGAUAGACUGAAGCCAGUCCUUUUUACAGAGAAGAGUUGCAUUGUUCGCGAGGAAGAUCCAGUUGAUGAGAUGCUAUUCAUAAUGCGCGGAAAAGUUUCUACUAUGACAACAAAUGGCGGCAGGACUGGUUUCUUUAACUCCUUAGCUCUAGUAGCUGGUGACUUCUGUGGAGAGGAGCUUCUAACAUGGGCUUUGGAUCCUAAUUCCUCCUCAAAUCUACCAACUUCAACAAGAACAGUCCAAACAAUUUCAGAAGUCGAAGCCUUUGCUCUCAUGGCUGAUGACUUGAAGUUUGUUGCUUCCCAAUUUCGACGUCUAUUUAACAGCAAACAGCUCCAGCACACUUUCAGGUAAGGCUUGAUAUUUUUGUUGUACUUUUUUCCACUGAAGUUCACCAUAAAACACUAAUCACUACAAUUUGUGCAUCAAUACCGCACCAGAUAGUAGGUAAAAUUUGCAGAUAUUGUUCAAAAAUCAAAAUCAUCAAUGUUUAGGUUCAUACUUUUGAGAAUACUACGAUUAUAUAGUUGGGUACUCCACAUGACAUUGUCGAGAUUUUGUGUUUGUCGCACUCUCUCUCUUCAUAUGUAUUAAAUAGUUGAGAUCCUCUUAAUAUUUAUGAAGACAAUUGUCUCUGUGUUUUCCUUAAUCCUUCCUAACUUUAUUCAACAAUAUGUUUUUCCAGGUUCUAUUCCCCACAAUGGAAAACUUGGGCUACAUGUUUCAUACAAGCAGCUUGGCAUAGAUAUUGUAAAAAGAAAAUUGAGAGGACAUUGCGUGAAGAAGAAGACAAACUAAAAGGUGUUCUUGCAAUUGAGAAUGGAUCCACUCUAAGCCUUGGUGCAACCAUAUAUGCAUCAAAGUUUGCUGCAAAGGCAUUACGAAACUUGAGAGAAAAUAGCAGACAAAGCAGAACGCCACAGAGACUGCUACCUCUGUUACCUCCAAAGCCAGCUGAGCCAGAUUUCACUGCUCAGAAACACUAGGGGUACAAUAGUUUUGAGCUAUUUAAUGCAAGUUCAGCUUUCACUAACUACUAAAUAGGAGCACUCAAUUGUGUGCAUAUAUAUGUAACUUGAGUGUUGCUUAAGAAUUCCUUCAAUAACUAUGUGUUAUGUAUUGGCAAGAGUUCCCUUUGAAAAUAUAAUAUUUUUUGAACAUGUAAACUAUGCAGCUUCCAUUACACAAGUAAAAUCCAUUUUAUAUUAGCC
rnacentral:lncRNA from 1 species